rnacentral:rRNA from 1 species
CUGAGUAACGCGUGGGGAAUCUGCCUUUGAGCGGGGGACAACAUUUGGAAACGAAUGCUAAUACCGCAUAAAAACUUUAAACACAAGUUUUAAGUUUGAAAGAUGCAAUUGCAUCACUCAAAGAUGAUCCCGCGUUGUAUUAGCUAGUUGGUGAGGUAAAGGCUCACCAAGGCGAUGAUACAUAGCCGACCUGAGAGGGUGAUCGGCCACAUUGGGACUGAGACACGGCCCAAACUCCUACGGGAGGCAGCAGUAGGGAAUCUUCGGCAAUGGACGAAAGUCUGACCGAGCAACGCCGCGUGAGUGAAGAAGGUUUUCGGAUCGUAAAACUCUGUUGGUAGAGAAGAACGUUGGUGAGAGUGGAAAGCUCAUCAAGUGACGGUAACUACCCAGAAAGGGACGGCUAACUACGUGCCAGCAGCCGCGGUAAUACGUAGGUCCCGAGCGUUGUCCGGAUUUAUUGGGCGUAAAGCGAGCGCAGGUGGUUUAUUAAGUCUGGUGUAAAAGGCAGUGGCUCAACCAUUUGUAUGCAUUGGAAAACUGGUAGACUUGAGUGCAGGAGAGGAGAGUGGAAUUCCAUGUGUAGCGGUGAAAUGCGUAGAUAUAUGGAGGAACACCGGUGACGAAAGCGGCUCUCUGGCCUGUAACUGACACUGAGGCUCGAAAGCGUGGGGAGCAAACAGGAUUAGAUACCCUGGUAGUCCACGCCGUAAACGAUGAGUGCUAGAUGUAGGGAGCUAUAAGUUCUCUGUAUCGCAGCUAACGCAAUAAGCACUCCGCCUGGGGAGUACGACCGCAAGGUUGAAACUCAAAGGAAUUGACGGGGGCCCGCACAAGCGGUGGAGCGUGUGGUUUAAUUCGAAGCAACGCGAAGAACCUUACCAGGUCUUGACAUACUCGUGCUAUUCCUAGAGAUAGGAAGUUCCUUCGGGACACGGGAUACAGGUGGUGCAUGGUUGUCGUCAGCUCGUGUCGUGAGAUGUUGGGUUAAGUCCCGCAACGAGCGCAACCCCUAUUGUUAGUUGCCAUCAUUAAGUUGGGCACUCUAACGAGACUGCCGGUGAUAAGCCGGAGGAAGGUGGGGAUGACGUCAAAUCAUCAUGCCCCUUAUGACCUGGGCUACACACGUGCUACAAUGGAUGGUACAACGAGUCGCGAGACAGUGAUGUUUAGCUAAUCUCUUAAAACCAUUCUCAGUUCGGAUUGUAGGCUGCAACUCGCCUACAUGAAGUCGGAAUCGCUAGUAAUCGCGGAUCAGCACGCCGCGGUGAAUACGUUCCCGGGCCUUGUACACACCGCCCGUCACACCACGGGAGUUGGGAGUACC